ACGCCUGCCCAGUGAACAAUUAAACGGCCGCGGUACCCUAACCGUGCAAAGGUAGCAUAAUCAUUUGUCUACUAAUUAUAGACCUGUAUGAAAGGCAAAAUGAGGGCUUAACUGUCUCUUAUAGUAAAUCAAUUAAACUGAUCUCCUAGUAAAAAAGCUAGAAUUCCCACAUAAGACCAGAAGACCCUGUGAAGCUUAAACUAAACUAUUAAACCUAAUAAUAACUACUUUAGGUUGGGGCGACCUUGGAAAAAAGAAUAACUUCCAAAGUACAAUAACAAAACAGGCCAACAAGCCAAUUACAAAAGACCCAGCAACGCUGAAAAUUGAACCAAGUUACUCCAGGGAUAACAGCGCAAUCUUCUUCAAGAGCCCAUAUCAAAAAGAAGGUUUACGACCUCGAUGUUGGAUCAGGACAUCCUAAUGGUGCAGAAGCUAUUAAGGGUUCGUUUGUUCAACGAUUAACAGUCCUACGUGAUCUGAGUUC
rnacentral:rRNA from 1 species